rnacentral:rRNA from 1 species
UGCCAGCCGCCGCGGUAAGACGGAGGGUGCUAGCGUUGUUCGGAAUGACUGGGCGUAAAGGGCGCGUAGGCGGUUUUGUUAGUCAGGCGUGAAAGCCCCGGGCUCAACCCGGGAACUGCGUUUGAUACUGCAAGACUUGAGGACGGAAGAGGAAAGUGGAAUUCCUAGUGUAGAGGUGAAAUUCGUAGAUAUUCGGAGGAACACCAGUGGCGAAGGCGGCUCACUGGCUCGAUACUGACGCUGAGGUACGAAAGUGUGGGGAGCAAACAGGAUUAGAUA